CUUUCAGAGAACUUUUCUUAAAGGAGCCGCACGGGUUUGGGUGGAACUUGAGGUGCCCGGCAGGCGCGCUGCAUCCCCAGCCGGAGCGGCGGUGCUCCCGCUUCCGUGCCUUGAUGUGGGGUUGUAGACUGUCUUGAGCACCGCAUUCAUCCCCAGAUUCCUGGGGGCUCCCGCCCAGCGCUUUUCCUCGCGCGCGGCGGCUUGGGGGCCGGGUUCUCGGGGUGAAGGCGGGGAAGGGGGAGGGCGGCAAACACCUGAUCUUGAGCUCGGCACCCGGUGGUUGUGCUGAGUGACCUUGAGGAAAUCACUUCCCCUCUCUGGCCGGAGGCUUCCAACCCAGAGGGUGGGAAUUAGAGUACAAAAUCUCCCCCCUCCUCCCCACUCCCGUCAACUCAAAGAGGAAUUUUAGGGAGCCUACUCGUUUUCUGCUACGGGAAGGGGUACCUCGAAUGACCUAGAAGGUUCCGUUCGUUACCUCCAGCCCACUUUUAAGAUUCCUCACGGCUUGCUCUUUUUCCGCUCCAAUUCCGAAUCCCAGGGUGGGAGGGAGGGAAGAGCGGGCUGACGCCUAGGGCGGGGUCACCUAGACUCCCACCCCACGGUGGCCGGGGGUGCGGCCUUAGGGUCGGAUUUUCCCCCUACAGUAUAAACGCUGACCCGGACCGUCUGCUGCCUACAGCUUGUAAAACCGGCCCCUGGCCCUGACUGCCCUGCGGAGCCGUCGGAGCGUUGGGGUCCUUUUCUCCGCACCCCUCCCCCGGUCAUCUUUGGGCAGCUGUAGCUGAGCGGUGAGGGGUCCUGGCCCGGGUCAGGCGUUCCCGAGCGCGAUCUGCUGGGCCGACUUAACGCAUGGAACUUGGGUCUUAGUAUCGGGAUUUGGGGCGAGAGGCCGCGCUUAGAGACGGUGAACGUGAAAACCCUUGGUCUGCACUCCUGUACCAAUUAGGAACCUUGACCUUGGGCAGUGGCUUAGUCCCUGAGAACUUCCCUGUGCCGACUUGCCAAAUAGUUAGCUCCGUCAAGCGUGAGAGCUGUUGUGGCCGACCUCCCUGAUAACUUGUCGUCCUAAUAUGUCAUCUCACGGCUGCUGCUUUGUUUCAUUUUGUGUUUCAGCCCAGGCUGGCCUCAAACUUGAAAUCUGCCUCAGCCUCCCGACUACUGGAAAACAGGCCUGAACCACCACACUCAGCUAUUUCUACUAGACUGCAGACAGGAAGUGUUGUCUAAUUCCCUGGAGCCAUUUCAGGCCAGGUGUGGCGUACAUAACCGGAUGCUGGGCAGAAGCCAGAACUAAGCUUCCAUGAUGUCACUGCCUUCAAGAGACAUACCGCUCCCAGCUCUUCUCAGUGCUGCCAGCUACUCUCAAGAGAGAGUCUCAGCCGGGCACAGCAGUACACGCCUAAUCCCAGCCCUGGAGAGGAUCUGAGAACUGGAUGCCUGCUCAUUCUCCAUAGUGAACUCAAAGCAACAAGAGCAAACGAAUGGAAGGUACAGCCUCUUGCCUCAUUCUGGGUCCAAACCCAUUUGUGACCAUUGACAACUGUUAGAAUACACCAGGCCCCAGUUCAGUCUCCAGGACCAAAACACAAAGCAACUAUUAGAGCAUAAACAGAACAAAAAAGAAGUUGUUUGGUAAAGUGAAAAGUAUUAAAACAUUUAUUAUACUCCUCAG